rnacentral:lncRNA from 1 species
UAUAAUCAAUUAUAACAAAAUAAUUUAAUCUGUUAAUCAUUAAUGUUCUAAUCAUUAUAUCAUUAAUGAUUUCUCAACAACACACAAAACCACACCUUUCCCCCAAAUCAAUUUCACGUGUUCAUUAUUCUCAACCUUCUUGUUAUUCUACUUCAUUCUUCUUCUUCAUCCAAGCACUAGCACUAGCAUUCUCAACCUGUCCAGAUCUACACUAAGUAUAAGGUAAUUAACCUCCAUUUCUUCUAUCUCUUUUACUUAAUUUCAUGCAUGCAUUUGGAUGCUAUUUAUUGAAUGUUGAAAUAGCUAAAUUAUUAUAUUCAUAAUGAUUGUUGGCUUAUUUUUGUUAUAGUUAUUCUUAAGAGUAAGAAUAAGUUUCUGAUUUGUUGGGUGUUCUUUGUCCUGCAUGUUUGUUAAAUGGAAAAGGGGCUUCUCCUUAAUUGCUAUUAGGAAAUGUAAAAUACCACUAUUUUGGUUUUUUUGGUUGCUUAUCAAUCUUGUGUUAGUAUGUAAAUGAACCCAUAACCUUUACCAUAGUCAAAAUAUAAGUGGGUUUUUAAUUGUUGUUACUAAUACUAAUAUAUUUGUACAAUUAAUCCAUGAAAAUUGUUACUACUACCCUUUAGAAUUUAACUAGUAAUUUCAAUUUUUUUGUUUUCAACAGGAAGAGAAAUUUUGAAAAAUGGCUUCUAAGGGAAAGGGUGUUCAUGUUGGCGGCACUUCUUGCGGAACGAAGAAACAGGGUAAACUAAAUGAGAGGGGACUUAUUCUAAACAAAUCUGAGAGGGAAAGGUACAAAAUGCUUUUGAACAGAGACAUUGUACCAAAUAGGUAUCCCGAUUCANNNNN